GGACAGUGUCAGAGGGAAGAAAAGGAAAGCGGCACUUUUUACUGGUGAAAAUAAAGCUUUAUAGCCCCAAAAAUCAACAUGCUUUUCCCUAUGGUUUACAGAAAAGCGGUUGUGGAAGCAAUGAGCAUGAUUCUGCAAAGCCAUCUUCAUGGGUCCUUUUAAUUUAGAGAGAUGACUCAUUGGAGCUGAGGCUGCUUGGAUGGUUGUAUGACCACAGGAUGCAGCCCUGGAAAAGUGUUUUUGUAAACAAAUAAACAUGCUCCUUCCUGUGUGAAACUCAAAUCUUUCAGCAUUGGGCAAGUGCCUGAGAACCGAGCAGUGAAAGUAAUAAGGAAUAUUAAGCACGAUGCCAGCUGGUUGAUCCAGAUCUGAAGCAUGAGGUGAACAAAACAGAGUGCAAAACAGACCUACAAGUGGAGGGGCUCCAGACUGGAGCCCUGCUGCACCCAGCACUGUGACAAGGGGUGGCAAAGUGGAAGGAAGGUGGCACGGCUUUGUGCUGUCUUCGCCGGUCGAGAUGUUUCAGUUGCAAACGAUAAAUCUAUUUUACCCAUUAAAGCUUGUCUAGACUAAGGAAAUAUUCCUGCUAUGACUACGCCAAGGUAAUUAUACCAGUGUAAACCCCUUUGGGCAAAACAGAGCUUUUAGUGGCCUGAUUUACGCUGGUCACUUGCCAGGAUUAGUUCAGCUGGUAGCAGCCCGUCCUCCAGGAGCUCCCAGCCAGAGCACACGAGGGAGCUUUUCCAGCUCAUCAGAAAAUCCACGCUGCCAAUCUAUCAAUCAGGCCGUCCUUACGGGGCACCCAUGCAUGUGAUUCUCCAGAAGAACGGAAAAUAUUUAGAAGGUUCCUCAGUUAGUGCAGAACUGCUGAAUUGGCUAUGAAAAACGCGCUGAUAAAUCUGUUAUUGAAUCAAAGCAUUGUUUGAAGCAUGUAGACAUGUACUGGGGAAAUGUAUCGGCUCCGGAUGCAAUGAGAUAGGAAGGCAGAUGGGGAUGUUCAGCCUGCCAGUGGUAGAUGUGGUCCUUGCACUAAAUAGGCAUGUAGGAGAGGAUGAAGUGUGUCCAGAGAGAGUAAUCCAAACUGCUCCUAUUAAAUGAACGAAAACCUGAGAAAGCAAAUAAGCUAAAUUAAAUAAAUCCGAGUGCUUGCAUCUGAAGCCCCUUUUAAGGAGCAGAGGGUGAAACCCCACUCUAAGAGGAGCCAGCAGCACCAUCUACUCUGGCUUUGAAGGAGGCUUCACUCAACGUUAUGCACAUGGUGAAGGCACAGAGUGCCCCUCUGUAUGCUGAUAAGGGCAGGACAGGGAACAGACGGACUGACAGACGGACGGGCUGGGCCAUAGGUGAGUGCAGACCACAGUUAUCCACAGGUGUCACAAGUAAAACAUUUCUAAAAAGUUGUUACACGCCUUUAGGUCUGCACACUUACAGGAAAGACAGCAGCUCUACCAGUGAGAACAAAUAUACUCCCUUGCUUUAAAUGUCUCCUUAUUAAAAAAGCGAAGUGUCUGAGGCACAGAGAUGACAUCAGGAGAGUUCCUCAGUUCACAGAUGGCUGCACCUUUCAGAAAAAAAUUAAAGUAGGAACCCUAGAUUGAUUUAAUCACCCAUACAAGCGAAAAAACGUAAUGAAGAUACUUAGUGCCAAAUUGGUUUCUUGGGACCUUUUCCAUGUAAAUAAUACAACUCAAACCUUGAAGUUCACUGCAGAUAGGAUCUGACAAGUGAGCCAGGCUUUCUGUUUUCC
ensembl:lncRNA